CUGCCUAUUGGAGUAGCCUCCUAACUCCUACUUGCGUGCAAGCAGGAGUGGGGUGGGGAUCUCUCAGUUAGGCAAUGGGAAGCAUACCUUCCCAGCUGAGGGAUCACCGCCCCCUCCUGCUUGCAAGCAAGUAGGAAUGGGAUUGGGGCUGCUCCAAUGGGAAG